rnacentral:misc_RNA from 1 species
UCGAGUUGCAAGACUCCCUAAACCAUUGUGAACCUACCUGUACCGUUUCUUCGGCGGGCGGCCUGACGCCCUAACCCGCUCCUUCUUAGGGAGGGCGGACCCGCCGGAGGCUUCUACAACCCUUGAUUUUUGUUGGCAUCUCUGAGUUAAAGCUUCUAAAUAAGUUA